UGUGAGCCUUUCCCCACCCAGUGCACUCAAAGCCACAAGCUACUGGGCUUUUAUUGCCAUGCAUAUGAAAAAAGUUUGCUUCCAGGUUUCCCAGCUCUCAUGAUUCCUCCUUCAAUCCCUGCUUCUCCCACCCCUCGCCUUCCAAGUGACCCCAUUCCCUGGAGCCUGGGACAUUUAUAUGGUCUCCAUCUUUCUCCCUUACCCCAGCUAUUUCUAAAGAAAAGGGUCUGAUCAAUAAAUCCACCAUGGGAUAUAAAACACUAAUAAAGUUUAAUAACUUGCCUCUCCCAGGAGUAUUUGCAUUUUAACAGGGGAAUUGCAGCCUAAGCUAAAGGAAUUAGGCUGUAAUGGUACAAUUUCAGGCACCAUCAAGCAGCUAAGGGAGGUUUUGGGGGAGACAGGGGGUCUCCCUUGCACCUCUGGGGCUCUCCUGUUAGAUGCUACCUCCUCCAAGGUCGACCAGUUGAUCAAGAGAGCAGGAGCAAGCACACUUCCUAAAGUUUCAUUCCCAGCCCAAUCUAUAGGCUUACCUUUCCAGAAUUGCUUACUCCUUUACCCUGCCCUUAUUCUCUUGUUCACCUAUUGUUUCAGUCUGCAAACUCUGACUGGCCUGCUUUGUGCCUGGAGACCCCCUGUGAACUCGGCAGUUCCAAAGAUCACAAAUAGCUUAGACCCAAAAGCCAACCUGCCUAGACUCUGCUCCUGCUGCCGUGUGCCCCUCCUUCAGAUUCCUUUUCUAUUAAAAAAAGAUAAUCAUAUUGCCUACCUUAAGGAUUAGAAUGAGAUGCUGCAUGCAAAGUUAAAUAAUAAUUGCUUGGUAAAUAUUUUAUAUUAUUAUCAUAAUAUGAGUAUCUGUAGAUUCCAGGAGCCUGUAGCCCAGAAGCAGAGUGGUAUGCAAAUAAUUCCAAAGCCCUUAGGAAUUUUCUUUCAUUCUUUCAGGCUAAAUGGACGAGUCAUCCUGCUAGAGCAGCUCAUUCUCAGGAGGGACAGAGGAAGGAGCAACCAAGAAACACGGCUCCGUAGAUCACAGAAGAGAUUAAAUGUCCUCAUGUGUGAUUGGGAACAUUUGCACAGCCGAGAAUUCACAGCAUGCUGAGAUGCCAGGCUGAGCCCAGUGACUGGCUGCCACAUUGGGCAGGACCAGGAGAGUCAGCCUGCCCUGCAAAGGAGCGCAUUAAGAAGCUGCCUGUGACCCACACUGCAGAGCCUGGGUUUGGAGUUGUUUCUUCAGCCUGGAUGACUUUUCACUCAGCUCCUUUUGGAAUCAGGCCAAGAGUGUCAAGGGAGUAGGUGUGUCCCAAGAUCCAGGUGGAUUUCCUUUUCUCUCCUUGUGAAGGAAUGGCUUAAUCGGCAGAGAAAGUACAAUCUGAGAAGGUCUUUGUGCUUGGCUUAAUACCCUAGAUCCACCAGCUUGAAAUUCCUCGUACUUUUGAACCAGGGAACCAGCAUGUUUAUCUUGCAUCAGGUACUAUAAAUUAUGCCAUUGGUCUGGCUUUCAAAGACUGGGUAGAGCUUGACUUUGGGUUCAUCAGUUAUCUCCUGGAAAUUCCCUUUCUUCUAGAAUAUGAAUAAGCAUUUGUUCUGAGCAUUCUUCUAAGCCUGAUGCCCCAGGAAGGGCACUUUGAAUAUCAGCCCCAGACUAAGUGUCUGAGACAUGGAGAUCCAGUUCUUAAGAACAAAACAAGAGUGAGCAAAGCCCCAUUCCGAACCCAUCCAUGCUGGUGCUCCUACUGUGAUCGAAAUCUCUGCACUUUAUCUAAGAUGUUAGGAGACGCUUGGGAGGAACUUGGUGAAUGAAGAUCCCAGCCUUUCUACUGGGGUAAUACAAUGUAAGACAAAAACACACAAACGAAAUCCUUCUUCUCUUUGCUAUCUUUGCCACCUGAGCUGAAUGCUGCAUCUAGGAAAUUGCUCGACUGAAAGACGAGGCAGAGAACAGUGGUCUGAUUGCUUACACCCUUCCUUCUGUUUGGGUUCCUCUGAAAGCUGGAAGCAGACUCCAUUAGGAGGAAGACUCAGUGUUCUGGAUACUUUAAUCUAUGGACAAUCAGUCAGGAUAUGCUUGGUUAUUCUGAGUCAACAAAUGAUCCUUAGCUCUUUCAGAAUCAAAGGUCACUCUGGCUCAUACUCUGUGUCCAGGGAGAGCUGGCUGUGAGACUAUUCAUCCUGGCCACUCAGCAACCCACAAUGAUAGAAGCUUCAUCACAACACAUGCUCACACAAUCACUAUAGCAGGAAGCAGAUGUAGCAAGUGGUACCCUGCAUCUUAGAACUUCACUG